UGAACCCCUCAAAUUAGAGCCAGAACACUUGUCAGCUCUACCAGAUAUAAAACAGGCUAUCCUGUCUGACCCUGCUCUAGGCAUCCCAGAUUACAACAAGCCAUUUACUUUGUAUGUACAUGAGCAAAGAGGAGUAGCUUCAAGUGUUUUAACUCAUACUUUGGGGCCUUCUCAGCACCUAAUUGCUUAUUAUUCUGCCCAACUGGACCCAGUAGCAUCAGGAGCACCACCAUGUCUUAGAGGAGUAGCUGCUACAGCCUUACUAGUGAAAAAAAUUGUUGAUCUAGUAUUGGGAUGCCCAUUACUAAUUAUGUGCCCACAUGAGAUAGAAGCAUUAUUACUAAGGCAUAGAAUAUAGGCAUUCUCAGAUCAGUGAAUUACGAGGUAUGAAAUAACCUUGUUAAAUAGAAAAAACAUUACCUUGAAACACUGUUCAACCCUUAACCCUGCCACUUUGCUUCCAGAUUUACCAACUUCAGGAGAACCAUUACAGUUGUGAAACACUAGUGUCCAUGGCAGAAAAGCCUCGAGAUAAUCUCUUGGAUACUCCCUUAGACAAUCCAGAUCUGAUCUUAUUUACUGAUGGUUCCUCUUUUAUGAGGGAUGGCAUAUGAUACACUGGAGUUGCUGUAAUCUCAGAAUUUGCCACUGAGUGGUCAGUUUCACUGCUUUCUAAUAUUAGUGCUCAAGGGGCAGAACUCAUAGCUCUGAAACAUGCCUAUAUAAUUGACAAGGAUAAAAGGGCAACAAUUUAUAUGGAUUCUAGAUAUGCUUUUAGCAUUUUCAUUUGGUUGGGAUGCUAUGGCUCCAGAGAGGAUUUUUAAACUCAGCUGGAAAAUCUAUAGCUAAUGGAGAAAUUAUUAAUGAAGUUCUUUCUGCUCUCCAGUUGCUGGAAGCCCUAGCUGUAGUUCAUUGCUCUGCCCAUACAGGUGACACUGUCCUUGUCUCUAGGGGAAAUGAUUGAGCAGUUGCCGCUGCAAAGCUAGCAGCCACAGAAGGGCCUGAAUUAAUUUUAUCAUUAACAACCAUUGAUGAGUUGAAUUUAUCACUUUCCUAUAAUGAAAAGGAAGUGGGAAAAUGGAAGCAAAAAUUCAAAGCAAAACAAAUUAAUGGAGUAUGGGUGUCAUCUGAAGGAAAACCCCUGCUCCCUAGAAGUUUCUAUCACCAAAUUUGCCAAUAUAUUCAUAAAAAUGGUCAAUUUGGUAGCCUGGGCAUCAUGGUCUCUGUUAAGAGAAUAUGGAUAGCCCCUGGUAUAACUACUAUAGCCUCUAAAGUGUGUUCAGCCUGCUCUACCUGCCAAGCAUAUAACCAACAUGCCUUCUGUGGCAAAGCCUUUGGUGGGCAUCCUUUGGCUUACUCACCUUUUGAGCACCUACCAAUAGAUUUCAUAACAAUUUAAAAGGCCAGACAUUAUAAAUUUCGUCUAGUCAUGGUAGAUCAACUGACCACAUGGCUGAAAGCAUUGCCUGCUACCCAAGCCACAGCCACAGCGGCUUUUGUUGCAAAGUGUUUUUAAAAGAAAUUAUUCCUCCCUUUGGCCUGCCAGCACAUAUUGAUUCAGAUAGAGGAAGUCAUUUUACUGAUUCUGUCCUAAAUCAGAUAUAUUCUUGCUUGGGGAUAACUCCAAAAUUCCAUGUUCCAUAUCAUCCCCAGAGCUCAGGCCAAGUUGAAAGGAUGAACAAAGAACUUAAAAAUAUGAUUGGCAAAUUAUGCACUGAGACAUAUUUAAAAUGGACUGAAAUUCUUCCUCUGGUCCUAUUUUAUCUUAGAAGGAGGCCUAGAGGAGACCUACACAUCUCACUAUUUGAGAUGUUUUUUGGACAUCCACCUAUAAAGGGUAAGCCUUUCUCCCCUGCAUAUACAUCGCUAUUAGGGGGAGAUACUACAAUUUCUUCCUAUAUACAGGAAUUACAGCACAAACUAUGUGAACUUCAUGAAUCCGGAGCUGCAGUACAAGCUGGACCACUAGACUUUUCUCUUCAUGACCUGAACCCAGGAGACAAGGAAAUGGGAUCAAAAAGGAGCCAUACUUAACCUGAACAGUGCUAAAAGAGCACACAGGUCAAAAAAAGAAAGCAAUCCAGAUUAUACAUUCCCCUGUCUUCUUCAAUCAGUCCUCAAGUGUGAUGAUUUCAAGGUACUUCACUGUGCUGGACAUCCUCCUCUGAUCCUCCAUAUGCCUUCCUAAGCUGUGGCUCCCAGAAAGGGGCACAAUACUUCAGAUGAAUUGUGACCAGGAUCCACAAUAUUGUCUGUAUCGUAACCCUGAAUAGUGCACUUCUUGUAGACAAACUUCUAUCUAGGCAUCGAGUUAGGAUCCAUAUGUCCCUAGUGUUUAGCACUUUCUCUUUUGAGGACAGAACAUAGGAUGGGGAUAGAUUACAUAAGGGAAGAGAAUAAGCAUUUAAGUAGCACCUACUAUGUGUCAGGCACUGUGCUAAGUGUCUUUUAUUUACAAGUAUUAUCUCACUUGAUCCUCACAACUACCCUGCAAAAGGAGGUGCUAUAAUUAUCAUAUCCAUUUUAUAGCUGAGGAAACUGAGACUGACAGAGGUUCAAUGACUUGCCCAGGGUCAUCUAUAGCUAAUGUCAGAAGCUAGAUUUAAACUGACACAUAGUAAAAGCUUAAAUGCUUAUAUCCUUUUCUUCACUCAAUUAGUUAAGUGUUGGAAGAUCAGUUUCCCCAUAGUGUUACCUAUUCAUUCAGUCAUUUCUGACUUCAGUCCUACAUAGUCUUUAAGAGACACAGAGACCCAAAUCUAUACAUUGUGCCACCAGCUGCCUCUGGGGAAACAUUAGGAACCUCUAGGUAGCCAAAGGUUCUUCCCUAUAACUAGAAAGUGACCCAUCUGCAAUAUAGAGUCUUGAAUUCCUUAUUCAGAGGGGCCUUAUAGGAAGAAGAGACUAGGUGGAUGCUAAAUUGAUAGAAAAGGGAAGGGGAUUAAGGUUUGAUACUUCAAGUUUUAGAAGAAUUGAAAGACUGAGAUAUGAGGAUGAGUAUAUAAUGUUUGGGACAGCUGAGGAUCAUAGAGUGUUUUCUACUUUGGAAAAAGUGAUUCUGCCUUUAUUCUGAGUGACAGGCCCGAUAAUAAAAUGGAGCUCAAGAUAAAUGUUGGAAACUAGGGGUCGGUGAUACAAGUCAGGACAGCAAAGGGGUCUUAUAGGAAACAAUAUCACCAAAAGAGGGGUAUAUGGGCUGUUCAGGGAGGAGUAGUAUCUCUGGUAUGGAGGGCUUGUCGUGCCCUCUUAGGGCAGCUCUCCAACCUCUGACCCUCACCUGACACCCAACUCUCACUUGUGGCUCCCAGUAGCUGCUAGCAUGCGGCAGUGGCCACACCCUGGUCAACGGCUUCUACAGGCCGGCUAAACCUUGUGAGGGUAGCCAUUGGGUCGUAGACCCCUGGUGAACCAGGGCUUUGCUCACCCAGCAUGUGAAGACUGUUUCGACCGAACAGACGGAAGCAACCAAUAAGAAGGUUCAACGGCUGAGAUGGCGAUGUAGCAAAGCACUGUGGAGUGCUUAGGGCGUGUUGGAGCACAAAAGACAACAUGGCCAUCCAAUGCAGCUGAGGAAGUCUCCAGGUGUAAUGAUUUUUCAUGCCAAUGGACCCAGACUUUCAAUGCCGAGAGAGUGGGACUGUCUCUGUGCAUCAACUUUUCCACUUAAAUCUCCUUCACGCACAAGUGUUUUUGUGCACACUCAUCUACAUCACAGAUGAAAGCGCACAAAGACAAUCAUCAUCCUUGGUUACUAAGAGACUACUACUAUCACCAGAAGAUGGGAGAGACUUAUAGGUAGCAACAACCUGAUUGGUGUUCCCAAUUAACUCAAGAGUUCUUCAGGCUGUCACCUCAGCUAUCUAUUCUCUACUUGGCUAGCCACCAGAAUAAUCUUAAAUUUUAUUUUUCCCCAAUUACACAUAGCAACAGUUUCCAACAUUUUUCAAAUGAUAUUGAGUCUCAAAUUCUCUCCUUCUUGCCCCACAACCUUUCCCCUAUUGAGAUGGUAAAUAGUUGUAAGGAAUUAAAAUUAUUGGUUUGACUAAAAUAUGUGAAAAUUAUAAAUAGUAUGGUGAUCACCGAUUUAAAAUAUUAUAGUUAGUUGAAAUGACUUUCUAUAGUUUUUAUUUACAAAAUAGUUGGGAAGAGUGAAAGUUGAGAAAUACAAACAGAGGGUAGAGAAAUUAUUUAGCCUAUCACUAAAUAUUACUCUGGUGUUCAACUCAGCCUGGCACAAUUUGUUAACCCUUGACCAGAAUUAAUCUCUCUCUAGAAGUCAGGAAAGGAAAGCCAACUGUUCACUCACUCAAGUUCCCUCCAAGAGGCAGUUCAAGCUAAAGAUGACCUGUCGAGGACAACUCCUGAAGUCAAUGUCUAGCCCCAGAAAUUCAGGGCCCCUCUUCACAGGGGCCAAUCACAGUUUUCAAAUUGUCUAGCACUGACCAGAGAGGGCAGUGUCUUGCGGGAUCCACUUCUCAUCCUCUGGAGGUGUAAAUGCUUAUCAAAAGCAUGCACAAUUUCCUGACUGAUUGAGUUGUUACCCACUUUAGCAAAUGACUUGUAAACACUCUUACUUAGUGUCUGAUGAGGUACUAAGUAGGGGUACUAAAAGAAAGUCUAAUUCACACUUCAUGGACUGGUCAAUUACAAAGGAGGGGUACUUAAGUUAGUGUUAACCAAGUGUUAACUCAAAGUACACAAAGAGAAUGAAGAGUUCCCUUUCACACGUCUUGUAUAGAUUUUACAUGUGCAACCAUGUAAAAUAAUUUGCCAUAUUAUUCUUUUAGUGGAAGGAAAUUCAUAUAAAAAAUUAAGAAAGAAAGUGAAAAAUGUUUGCAUUGGUCUGGAUUUAAGACUCUAUCAGUUUUUUUCCUUUGGAAACAGUUGUUAUUUUUUGCCAUGAGUUCUUUGGGAUAGUUUUGGAUCAUUGUAUUUCUGAGAAUAGCUGUUAUUCAUAGUUGUUCAAUGUACAGUAUUCCUGUCACUAUUAUCAGUAUUCUCCUGGUUCUGCUUAUUUCACUUUCCUUCAGUUCAUGUAAGACUUCCCAGUUUUUUCCUUACAGCACAAUAAUAUUCCAUUAUGAUCAGAUACUAUAUACUCAGCCAUUCCCAAAUUCAUGUGUAUCCUCUCACUUUCCAAUUCUAUGUCUUCUUCAAAAAGAGCUACUUUAAUUAUUUUUAUACUUAUAAGCCUUUCCUGUUUU